rnacentral:rRNA from 1 species
AGGAUGAACGCUGGCGGCGUGCCUAAUACAUGCAAGUCGAGCGGUAAGGCCACUUCGGUGGUACACGAGCGGCGGACGGCUGAGUAACACGUAGGAACGUACCCCAAAGUGAGGCAUAAGCACCAGAAAUGGUGUCUAAUACCGCAUGUGAUCUUCGGAUUAAAGCUUCGGCGCUUUGGGAACGGCCUGCGCAUGAUUAGCUUGUUGGUGAGGUAAUAGCUCACCAAGGCGACGAUCAUUAGCUGGUCUGAGAGGAUGACCAGCCAGACUGGGACUGAGAACGGCCCAGACUCCUACGGGAGGCAGCAGUAGGGAAUUUUCCACAAUGGGCGAAAGCCUGAUGGAGCAACGCCGCGUGCAGGAUGAAUGCCUUCGGGUUGUAACUGCUUUUAUCUGUGAAGAUUAUGACGGUAGCAGAUGAAUAAGGAUCGGCUAACUCCGCGCCAGCAGCCGCGGU